AGUAACGCGUGAGGAACCUGCCUCAAAGAGGGGGACAACAGUUGGAAACGACUGCUAAUACCGCAUAAGCCCACAGCUCGGCAUCGAGCAGAGGGAAAAGGAGCAAUCCGCUUUGAGAUGGCCUCGCGUCCGAUUAGCUAGUUGGUGAGGUAACGGCCCACCAAGGCAACGAUCGGUAGCCGGACUGAGAGGUUGAACGGCCACAUUGGGACUGAGACACGGCCCAG
rnacentral:rRNA from 1 species